ensembl:rRNA 5S_rRNA 5S ribosomal RNA
GCUUACGGCCAUACCACCUUGAGAAAGCCCGAUCUCGUCUGAUCUCGGAAGCUAAGCAGGAGCGGGCCUGGUUAGUACUUGGAUGGGAGACCGCCUGGGAAUACCAGGUGCAGUAAGCU